rnacentral:misc_RNA from 1 species
UUUGUUUUUUAAUUAAAAACUWGAAUGAAAGGUUAUACAUUCAAAUUUCUUUAUUAAUUUUUUAUAAAUAAUUUAUAUUAAAUAUAAAAAUAUAUUUUUAAAUAAAAAAGACGACAAGACCCUAUUAAAUUUAACUUAUAGUUUAGCUGGGGAAGCUUUUUAAAUAAAAUUUUUAUAUAAUUUUUAAAAAUAUAUUUAAUAAAAUUAAAAAUAAAACAAAUUACUAUAGGGAUAACAGCGUUAUAUUUUUUAAAAGUUCUUAUUUAAAAAAAUGAUUGCGACCUCGAUGUUGAAUUAUAUUUUCUAUAUUAAUGCAAUAAUUAUAAAAGUAGAUCUGUUCGAUCUUUAAAAUAUUACAUGAUUUGAGUUCAAACCGGUGUAAACCAGGUUGGUUUCUAUCUUUUUAUAUAUAUAUAUAUUUUUUUAAGUACGAAAGGAAAAAAAAAAAUUUAUUUUAAUUAUUUAGCAAAUUAAUAUGCAUUAGAUUUAGAAUCUAAAUAAAAUAUUAU